rnacentral:miRNA from 8 species
UGGCUCAGGGGGACCCCCUAUC